GCCAUGUUGUUGAUGCCCUACUAUAGACUGAAAAUGUGGUUGUGGUAGUCCACAGGACUAGCCACGAUUGAUGCUUUGCCAUGGGCUGGAAACAUAGUUGUAGUAGUUUGGAGUUGAGUACCUGUGGUCCCCCAGACUAGCCACUGUUGGUACCUUACAAUGGGUUGUAAACAUGAUUAUGGUAGUUAAGGUUUGAGUGUU
rnacentral:lncRNA from 1 species